AAAGGUUAAGAGCACUGACUGCU
rnacentral:piRNA from 1 species